rnacentral:rRNA from 1 species
UACGUAGGUGGCAAGCGUUGUCCGGAAUCAUUGGGCGUAAAGCGCGCGUAGGCGGCCAGAUAAGUCCGGUGUGAAAGCCACAGGCUACAACCUGUGAAUGCCGCUGGAAACUGUCUGGCUAGAGUCCGGGAGGGGCGAGUGGAAUUCCUGGUGUAGCGGUGAAAUGCGCAGAUAUCAGGAGGAACACCAGUGGCGAAGGCGGCUC